CCCUAGGGUUGUAAAGUACUUUUGUUAGGGAAGAAAAGUCAGCUGUGAAUAAUGGCUGAUACUGACGGUACCUAAAGAAUAAGCACCGGCUAACUACGUGC
rnacentral:rRNA from 1 species